rnacentral:rRNA from 1 species
GACGAACGCUGGCGGCGUGCUUAAUACAUGCAAGUCGAGCGGAAAGGCCCUUCGGGGUACUCGAGCGGCGAACGGGUGAGUAACACGUGAGUAAUCUGCCCUGUGCUUCGGGAUAGCCACCGGAAACGGUGAUUAAUACCGGAUAUGACAUGCUCCUGCAUGGGGGUGUGUGGAAAGUUUUUUCGGCGCAGGAUGUGCUCGCGGCCUAUCAGCUUGUUGGUGGGGUAAUGGCCUACCAAGGCUUCGACGGGUAGCCGGCCUGAGAGGGUGACCGGCCACACUGGGACUGAGACACGGCCCAGACUCCUACGGGAGGCAGCAGUGGGGAAUAUUGGACAAUGGGCGGAAGCCUGAUCCAGCAACGCCGCGUGAGGGAUGACGGCCUUCGGGUUGUAAACCUCUUUCAGCACCGACGAAGCGAGAGUGACGGUAGGUGCAGAAGAAGGACCGGCCAACUACGUGCCAGCCGCCGCCGUAACAC